rnacentral:piRNA from 1 species
UACUAUCACGGGAGUUAAUAC